UGGGGAAUUUUGGACAAUGGGCGAAAGCCUGAUCCAGCAAUGCCGCGUGUGUGAAGAAGGCCUUCGGGUUGUAAAGCACUUUUGUCCGGAAAGAAAUCCUUGGCUCUAAUACAGUCGGGGGAUGACGGUACCGGAAGAAUAAGCACCGGCUAACUACGUGCCAGCAGCCGCGGUAAUACGUAGGGUGCAAGCGUUAAUCGGAAUUACUGGGCGUAAAGCGUGCGCAGGCGGUUUGCUAAGACCGAUGUGAAAUCCCCGGGCUCAACUUGGGAACUGCAUUGGUGACUGGCAGGCUAGAGUAUGGCAGAGGGGGGUAGAAUUCCACGUGUAGCAGUGAAAUGCGUAGAGAUGUGGAGGAAUACGAUGGCGAAGGCAGCCCCCUGGGCCAAUACUGACGCUCAUGCACGAAAGCGUGGGGAGCAAACAGGAUUAGAUACCCUGGUAGUCCACGCCCUAAACGAUGUCAACUAGUUGUUGGGGAUUCAUUUCCUUAGUAACGUAGCUAACGCGUGAAGUUGACCGCCUGGGGAGUACGGUCGCAAGAUUAAAACUUAAAGGAA
rnacentral:rRNA from 1 species